UACAUUUUAGUAUAAGAUGUACAAGAAUUUUUGAUGUUCUUAGAAAUGGUUAAAUUCCAUUAAAUGUAA
rnacentral:tRNA from 1 species